rnacentral:tRNA from 1 species
AUUUAAGUAGUUUAAUAAAAAUAAUGAUUUGUGAUGUCUUUGAUACUAAAAGGUCUUAAGUU